GCUAAGGUAGCAUAAUCAUUUGCUUUUUAAUUGAAGGCUGGUAUGAAUGGUUGUACAAUAAAGGUCUGUUUUAUAGUAUUAGUAUAAUUUGUAUUUUAAGUAAGAAUACUUAAGUAAAAUAAGGGGACGAUAAGACCCUAAAAGCUUUAAUUUGUACAGUCUGUUAGAAUUAUGGAUUUUGGUAAAUAUGGCUGGGGUAGUGGUUAUAUUGUAAUUAUAAUUUUGUGUUAUCUUAGAGAAGUGUGAUCCUUUAGAUAAGGAUAAUUUGAGUUAGUUACUUUAGGGAUAACAGCGUAAUAAUUUUGGAGAGAUCUUAUCGAUAUAUUUGUUUACGACCUCGAUGUUGAAUUAAGAUUUUUUGUGGCGUAGAAGAUAUAAUGAAGGGUUUGUUCAACCUAUAGUGUCUUACAUGAUCUGAGUUCAAACC
rnacentral:rRNA from 1 species